rnacentral:lncRNA from 10 species
AAGAUGCCAUCUUAGUCCAUUUGUGUUACUAUAAAGGAAUACCUGAGGCUGAGUAAUUUAUAAAGAAGAUAUUUAUUUGGCUCUUGGUUUUGCAGGCUGUAUAAGAAGCAUGGCACCAGCAUCUGCUUCUGGUGAGGGCCUCAGGAAAUUUCCACUCACGGUAGAAGGCAAAGGGGAGCUGGCAUGUGCAGAGAUUACAUGGCAACAGAGGAAGCAAGAAAGGGGAGGGAGGUGCCAGGCUCUUUUUUUAACAACUGGUUCUCGUGGGAACUAAUAGAGUGAGAACUCACUCAUUACCACGAGGAUGGCACCAAGCCAUCCAUGAGGGAUCUACUUCCAUGAUCCAAACACCUUCCAUUAAGUCCCACUGUCAACAUUGGGGAUCAAAUUUCAACAUGAGACUUGGAAGGGUCAAAUGAACCAACCUAUAGCAAAUGUCUAUUUUCCAUACCUCGAGGUGAUUUGGGGUUUAAGAUACUUGUGCUGUAUGAGAUGACUUUACCCCCAUCCCCAUAUAGAAGGCAGCUGCAUGUGAAGGUUUUCUUCUUAUUGAUCCAGCUGGUGUGAGGCACUUCUGGUAAGCACAGUGGCAUUGGUGGUGGUGACCUUCAUGUAGGCAUCAUACUCCAUGACAUGGAUUGGAGUGAGCACAACAGGCCACAGAGAGAGAGUUUAUGAAAUUGCCUCUCCUCUCGUUCAAGUUGAAUGUGACAAUGGAAGGGUAAGACUGAUUGGAAAGAGCAGGAAGAUCAUCUAAGCCAGUCAUGUUUAAACUUUUCUUUUAAAGCAUCAGAUGGUUUUACUCAAGGCAUACCUAUGUGAAACCCACUGUAGAAAGGAGAAGCUUUCUCUAGACCAGAGUCAUCCCAGGCAUAUAUCUCAGGGGGCCAGGCAGGUAAUGCAGCUGAGUGAAGUGGGAGGGAUGCAGCUCUGGAGAACUGGGGAGAGCUGGCUGUCCACAGAGGCAGCCGCCAGUGGCUUUAGCCCUGCAGGCAUGGGUCCCAGUGUUACCAGAUGCACUUCCAAGAGAAGCCAGAAAGCCAGAUUGCUAUGUGAAAUGUCUUGAUUUUUAAAAACUUCUGGUCUGUCGAAGACCCUUGAACUGGCGUUGUCUCUUCACACCUUAUCAGCUCUUCAUCAAUCACAAUGACAUUUUUUAUGGUUGUCUUCCCAGGCCAGGGUCAGAGAUAGGGCAGCUGGGCUUCUCUUGUUUUCCUUCCUUCCGAGAAUGUCAGGUGACCUUGCUUUGCUCUUUCCCACCAGGCCGCCUGAAGGGUUUUUUCUGCUCAUUCUG